rnacentral:tRNA from 1 species
GGUAUUAGCUCAUUUGGUAGAGCGUCAGGUUCGCAAUCUGAAGGCAACGGGUUCGACUCCCGUAUACUCC